rnacentral:rRNA from 1 species
AUCUGGGCGGCGGAAUUCAGGAUGGCCGGCGGGUUUCGCGCUCGUCCGGCCGUUUGAUAUUUCCGUCGCCAUUUCGGACGUCGCGACCUGUUGGUCGCCGGUCCCUGCUCGGAGGAGGCGCGAUCGAGUUCGUUGCGCGGCGCGUUUCGGCGCGUCGCGCGGCGAAGACGCGACUCUCUGGCCGGCGGCGGACAGUAAGCAACGGUGUGCGGCGUCGUGUCUCGCACUCGGCGCCGUCGCCGGUCCGCGACGAUUUCUUCGGGCCUCUUUCCGACCCGUCUUGAAACACGGACCAAGGAGUCUAACGUGCGCGCGAGUCGCGGGGUUUCGAGCGUGCCACGGUGCGCUCGUCACUCGCGAAACCCGUACGUUGAAGGCGUUAAUGAAAGUGAACAGGGAAGAUGGCGUUCCGAGUCCACGUACCGUGAUCAUCGAGUGUCGCGGCCGGACGUCCGCACUCCCGGGGCGUCUCAAUGGCUCGUCGCGGAUGCGGGCGGUCGUCUUUCGGGGCGGCCGCCGGUCUGCGCCGGACCGA